rnacentral:tRNA from 1 species
GGAGCUUAGGUUAACAAUUUUAAACCAAGGACCUUCAAAGUCCUAAAUAUCGAGCUAGUGUCUCAUAACUCCUGAAGACCU